GAGAUUCCUGUGAUAAACUGGAAAACAGUUCAGUGCGCUUCUCUGUUAGAUGCUGCUCUUUCAAAGGCAGGGAAAAGCAGGCUCUCAGGAAGGAGCUGUCUGGUCCAGCCAGCUCAGGGAUAGAGGCUUCCAGACGUUUCCAGGGGCCGAGCUGCUUUUCCUUCUCCAGAGUGAUGGCCUGGCUUGUGCACUCAUGCAAGACGCUGCUAGAAGAGAAAACCCUGUUACAUAGAGGAUAGAGUGAUUUAUGCAGACAGUUUAAAGGGUGUUUCACAGCUCUGUGGAAUGCAAGAGGCAGCAUGAUUUGAAGGUACAGUAUACUCAAGGGCCAGUGUGGAGUGCACCAAUGUUUUCCUUUCCUACUUUGAAGCAAGUUUCAAUCCAUUUCACUGACGAAACCGGUUAACCAUGUGCAAAUGUGUAGCUGCCGGAGCCGAUCAGCCUUCCCAAGGCUCCAUGGAAGCGGUGACUUCUCUCAGCACUUGGGGUCUGGUGUCGGAAUAAACUGGUCAAUACUGCCUUCUACAGAGCAAAUGUCUUCCUUUAGUUCUCACAUUUAAAGAUAUUGUAUUUUGGAGGGAGGGGAGACCAUGCCUUAAUUUUCCUUCAACUGGAAAUGAUCAUAAUAAAAUAUUUGCAUUGGAAAUCAUUUCU
rnacentral:lncRNA from 1 species